rnacentral:rRNA from 1 species
CCCUUAGAUGUUCUGGGCUGCACGCGCGCUACACUGAAGCUAUCAACACGUUUUCCCUCCCUGAGAAGGGCGGGUAACCUUUUGAAUCAGCUUCGUGGUAGGGAUCGGGGCUUGCAAUUGUUCCCCGUGAACCAGGAAUUCCUAGUAGACGCGAGUCAUAAGCUCGCAUCGAUUAAGUCCCUGCCCUUUGUACACACCGCCCGUCGCUACUACCGAUUGAACGUUUUAGUGAGGCAUUUGGACCGACGCAUCUCAGUUUAACCGCUGGUUUGUGUUGGAAAGACUUCCAAACUUGAGCGUUUAGAGGAAGCAAAAGUCGUAACA